ensembl:lncRNA
GCAAAAGUCUAGGGCUGCAACUAACGAUUAUUUUGAUAUUCCACAUUCUAUGGAGGGAUUAUUGGGUCAGAUUAUAAACUAAAAGUCUAAAACUAAAAGUCUUAAACCAAAACUAAAAAUCUAAAUUUGAAACUUAAAGUCCAAGUCGAAAAUUAAUUUGGUAUUUAGGAUAGGGCAUUUUGUAUUUAGGAUUGGGCAUUUUCUAUUUAGGGUUGGGCAUUUGGUCAUUUGGCCAUUUAGGAUUUAGGAUUAGGCAUUUGGGGAUUUAGGAUUGGGAAUUUGGUAUUUAGGAUUGGGCAUUUAAUCAUUUAGCCAUUUAGGAUUGAGGAUUGGGGAUUUGGGGAUUUAGGAUUGGGCAUUUGAGGAUUGAGGAUUGAGGAGUGUAUGCAAAUUAGGAGGCGUGGCCCACAUACUGGAGGCUGGGUUUGACAUGGCUGGUGCGCAGAGGCACCUUAUGGACAGCAGAGGGAGCUCCCAGUGCUAAGGAGCACACUGACAGAGCGUCCUCUUCAGAGUAAAAGUUGUCGUUCUCUGCGUGCUCUGCCAUCCACGUUGGCUGCCAUAUUAACAAUGGCAAAGCCAGAGCUAGCAUCUUUGUUGAGACAGGCGCUGGACGUUUUGGACAAAGAAAAGGCUUCCAGUAACGUUGGAGAGGCUUCUUCUUCGAUCACCACCUCGUCCAUUUUACCAACACCGAAAGUGUUCGGUCUAAACGCAACCCCAACUCGCGCCCACCAUGCUGUUCAAGACGAGGUGUCCAGAGUCUUUGCGCCAUAUAGCCGACCUGCAGCCAAAAAGAGGCCAGCAUCUCCGUGGUCAAUCAAACCAUCUAGUACCACCUCAUACACACACAAGUUCUUUUGUAUGAGUAGCAGAAAGGAUGACGAAGUGCCCUCACUGUCGUAUAAAGAAACACUGACAGCUGCUGGAAUGGGGGAGCGUAAAAUAGUAUUCCCCGAUAAACUUUGCAGUGCUAUGGACUUCUCAGCACAGUUGGUCCACCACUAUCCCAAACUCAGGGAUGGGGGUGGUUAUGAACUGCUUCAUAUCGUCGGUUCGACCAGAAGCAAGGUGCUUGAGGUUCUGCCCUGCCCAAAAAACGGAUAUUCCCCCAUGUACCUUCUCAGUGCUGAAGCAGGACUUGGCAAAGCCACUAUCUACAUUAGACCUCUGCAAAAAGAUCUGUGUCUAGAACCAGUAUGGGGGAGUUCUGCUGAUGAAAAUGAUGGACCAAUGGUUGAGUGCAUGUAUUGCCACAACAGUUUCAAACAUUCCAAUAUGCAGGAUCACGUAGACAUUUGUACAAGAGAUUUUGGCAACACAGAAACUCCCACAGUACAAGCUGAGGCUGACAACCAUGGAAAGAUGGACACCAGUACAGAAAGACAGGCAACACCAGAUGUCAGUGGUCAUAGACACACACAAAAUGAGACUGACAUGUACAGGCAGACGCAGAUUGAAAGCAGCCAACACUAUGAGAGACAGACUGAUAGAUGGCCACAAACCGACAGUGACCACCACAGACUCCAAAGGCAAUCGAGACAGAGAGAAGAACAGCCAUCAACCAGCAGUAACAAUGGUUCAGUCAACAUCUUUCAAUCUCCUGAAAAAAGUCAUAAUGCCGAAUGGAAAGCAGAAAAAAAAGGAUCCAGAAAAGGCAGCUGA